rnacentral:rRNA from 1 species
GACGAACGCUGGCGGCGUGCCUAACACAUGCAAGUCGUGCGAGAAAGUUCCUUCGGGAGCGAGUAAAGCGGCGCACGGGGUGAGUAACACGUAGGUAACCUGCCCCCCCAGUCUGGAACAACUAGAGGAAAACUCUAGCUAAUGCCGGAUGAGACCACGAUCCCUUCGGGGGUUGCGGGCCAAAAGAUGGCCUCUACUUGUAAGCUAUCGCUGAGGGAUGGGGCCUGCGGGCCAUUAGCUUGUUGGUGAGGUAACGGCUCACCAAGGCUGUGAUGGCUAGCUGGUCUGAGAGGAUGACCAGCCACACUGGGACUGAGACACGGCCCAGACUCCUACGGGAGGCAGCAGUGGGAAUAUUGCGCAAUGGGCGAAAGCCUGACGCAGCGACGCCGCGUGGGUGA